rnacentral:rRNA from 1 species
UACGAAGGGGGCUAGCGUUGUUCGGAAUCACUGGGCGUAAAGCGCACGUAGGCGGACUUUUAAGUCGGUGGUGAAAUCCUGGAGCUCAACUCCAGAACUGCCUUCGAUACUGGGAGUCUUGAGUCCGGGAGAGGUGAGUGGAACUGCGAGUGUAGAGGUGAAAUUCGUAGAUAUUCGGAAGAACACCAGUGGCGAAGGCGGCUCACUGGACCGGUAUUGACGCUGAGGUGCGAAAGCGUGGGGAGCAAACAGG